GUUGGCUGCUGUGAGGACAAGGCAGAGUCAGUGCUUAGAGGAGCUUCUCUACAAGAAACAUCAAGGAGGUUUCCAGUUACUCAGCAUUGGCCCCAUUUCCAGUGAUGUGGUGGAACUCACUAUGACAGAGCCCAGCAAACAAGGGUGAAAGGCCUCUGUGACACUUGAAGAUGCUUAUAAAAAAUGUCUUUGGCAAAAUGUAUUUUGCUCAGGAAAUUCACUCAGGAUUUGCUGUAGCAGCAAACCAGGAGCAGAUGCUGUCAUGUGGCCACAGCUGCAAUGAAUGGCUGCCAGUGUUUUCUGCUGUCCUGAGUUGUGGUGCGCUCUGAGGGGGGAGGAUGCUGCAAGGACACCCCACCCAACGCAGCUGGUUCCUCACACUGCACAAAACCAACCCCAGCAUGUUCUUUUACACCCAUGUCUUUAAAAUGUGCCUCUUUCAGUAAGCUCAGUAACACCCACAGUGUGUUCAGUUCUCCUCACUCUCAAGGCUUUCCAGGAGGUUCACAGAUGCUCAGGUGGGUGGGUACUCUGUGGGACCAGCUGGAGGGCAAGGAUCCAAGGCCUCCCUUUACCCUCUGAGUCCCUCCCAGCUAUGGAAAAGCUGGUGGAAAACUAUGACAGGAGAGGGAUUCAUCAACACAAUUUGUCUCUAUUAACAGUUUUGUCAGUGUCCCACUCCCCAGAGGAAGGAGCACCCCUCAAUCCCUCACAGCUCUUCUCACCCCUUAAGGCCCAAUUUCCUCCCCAUAGAACUGAGGGUAGAAUCUGCCUGAAUUUCAUCCCAAUGUGACACCAGGGCACAAAGAGACCCACAGUGCCCUUGGCACUGCCACGUGCCACAGGACAGAGCAAGGAGGCAAUAGUGCCAGGGCAAUGGUGGCCACCACCCUGCCAGCCUUCUCAUCUGCGGGCACUGGCUGUGCAAGGACUCAAAUGUGCCCUGUGGAGAAGCCUGAAAGCUUCAAAAGCUUCUUGCUGCCCCAAAAUGUGAUGAAACCUGUAGGGGGAUAGAACAUAAGUAAAUAAAGGUAGUAUAGAAAGUAAUC